CUGAUAGAUAGUCAGUAUACACACUAUCAUACUAUAUAUAGGUCGUAUACUGGCGCCGUGUUAAGUCUCUUAUAGAUACGUGUUUAUAAAAUAAAAAAAUGAAUUGUACCGAAAUAUAAUUUUUUGAGACUAUGUUAUCUUUCUUAAGUCUUUAACCUCUGAUGUUUUGAAUCAAAAUUAAACAGCAAGAAAUGUGACAAAAUCAUACUGCUUUACCCAUUGUGUAUUCUUGAUCAGUAAUCGAUUAAUAAUGUUGAUCAACGAUAUUGUUUUAUAUAUAAAGCUUUAAUAUGCAUCCGGUGUGAUUUUGAUUGGCUCGGAUACAAUUCAUUAAGUUUCCUUAAUUUGCAUCCGCUUAAACUCCAAGUUUCCCCAACGAGUCAAGCCGACAUGCUGUAGGUAUCGAUGAGAGUUGCCUGAACCGCUGGAUAGAGAGGGGAAUGAGAAUUUACAUCAAGUGUGCUUUUUCAUUGUUUGUCUAAGCAUCUUGUAUUGCUUUUCCUAUAUACUGAUAGAUGUUUGGAUAAAAUGUCCCAACUCUCCAAAAAAUCAAAUUAUUUCGGCAAUUCAUCCAAACCUAAUUGCACAACAUUUAGAUUGUUAGGCACGUGUGUAUGAUAGAUCUGAGAAAGAAAGUAGUCUGGAAACAGAACCGGGAAACUAAUGGACAUGUGAACAACGUCCCGAAGGAAACAUUAGUUCAUGUACAUGGGGACUAGAGUAUUGUCUCAUUCCUACAGAGGCCGUCAUAUGGAAUACUUUCCCCUCAUGCAGCACUGAAUCACUUGAUGGUAUAUUCUUUACAACAGUUACGAAGCGAUGUUUAUCAAAACAAUUGUAAAGAAAAUGAAAUACCGAGGAUAUUCAAUUGUGGAUAAAUUAUUGGUUAUCAAG